AGCCCCGUAGUGGAGUACACGUUGGAUUGCAAAUCCAAAAGACGCAGAUUGACGUCUGCCGGGGCUU
rnacentral:tRNA from 1 species